CUGACUGCUAUCGGAUCGAUACUAAGCCAUGCGAGUCAUUGUAGUAAUACAAGGCAGACGGCUCAGUAACGCGUAGUCAACCUAACCUAUGGACGGGAAUAACCUCGGGAAACUGAGUAUAAUGCCCGAUAGAACAUUAUGCCUGGAAUGGUUUAUGUUCCAAAUGAUUUAUCGCCGUAGGAUGGGACUGCGGCCUAUCAGUUUGUUGGUGAGGUAAUGGCCCACCAAGACUAUUACAGGUACGGGCUCUGAGAGGAGUGGCCCGGAGAUGGGUACUGAGACACGGACCCAGGCCCUAUGGGGCGCAGCAGGCGAGAAAACUUUGCAAUGUGCGAAAGCACGACAAGGUUAAUCCGAGUGGUUUCUGCUAAAGGAACCUUUUGUCGGUCCUAGAAACACCGAUGAAUAAGGGGUGGGCAAGUUCUGGUGUCAGCCGCCGCGGUAAAACCAGCACCUCAAGUGGUCAGGAUGAUUAUUGGGCCUAAAGCAUCCGUAGCCGGCUCUGUAAGUUUUCGGUUAAAUCUGUACGCUCAACGUACAGGCUGCCGGGAAUACUGCAGAGCUAGGGAGUGGGAGAGGUAGACGGUACUCGGUAGGAAGGGGUAAAAUCCUUUGAUCUAUUGAUGACCACCUGUGGCGAAGGCCGGUCUACCAGAACACGUCCGACGGUGAGGGGAUGAAAGCUGGGGGGAGCAAACCCGGAUUAGAUACCCGGGUAGUCCCAGC
rnacentral:rRNA from 1 species